rnacentral:ribozyme from 1 species
ACCAUCAUUGUUUCAUUAUAGGGUUCACAGUCACUGUUUCAUGACCACUACAUCCCUUUCAUCAUUAUCAUCAUUCUAAAUUUUAACUAUCUUAUCAUAUUUACCAUCUAAUAUAUCUCUUACAGUUUGAGUUACUACC